rnacentral:rRNA from 1 species
ACCUACUCGCUKGGAGGAAAAGAAACUAACAAGGAUUCCCCUAGUAACGGCGAGUGAAGCGGGAAGAGCUCAAAUUUGUAAUCUGGCGGCCUUUGGCCGUCCGAGUUGUAGUCUCGAGAAGCGUCUUCUGCGUCGGACCGUGUACAAGUCCCUUGGAACAGGGCGUCGUAGAGGGUGAGAAUCCCGUCUUUGACACGGACUGCCGGUGCUCUGUGAUGCGCUCUCAAAGAGUCGAGUUGUUUGGGAAUGCAGCUCAAAACGGGUGGUAAAUUCCAUCUAAAGCUAAAUAUUGGCGAAAGACCGAUAGCGAACAAGUACCGUGAGGGAAAGAUGAAAAGCACUUUGGAAAGAGAGUUAAACAGUACGUGAAAUUGCUGAAAGGGAAACGCUUGAAGUCAGUCGCGUCUCCCGGGAUUCAGCCGUGCCCCUGUCGGGGCGCGGUGUACUUCCUGGCUGUGACGGGCCAGCAUCGAUUUUGGCCGUCGGAGAAAGGCCUUGGGAAUGUGGCACCUUCGGGUGUGUUAUAGCCCUGGGUCGCAUGCGACGGUCGGGAUCGAGGACCGCAGCACGUUUCUCCUUCCUUCGCGGGAAAGGGGCUCGGGGUUCGCCCACGC